CCUGACUGACCGAUAGUGAACCAGUACCGUGAGGGAAAGGCGAAAAGAACCCCGGCGAGGGGAGUGAAAAAGAACCUGAAACCGUGUACGUACAAGCAGUGGGAGCACGCUUAGGCGUGUGACUGCGUACCUUUUGUAUAAUGGGUCAGCGACUUAUAUUCUGUAGCAAGGUUAACCGAAUAGGGGAGCCGAAGGGAAACCGAGUCUUAACUGGGCGUUAAGUUGCAGGGUAUAGACCCGAAACCCGGUGAUCUAGCCAUGGGCAGGUUGAAGGUUGGGUAACACUAACUGGAGGACCGAACCGACUAAUGUUGAAAAAUUAGCGGAUGACUUGUGGCUGGGGGUGAAAGGCCAAUCAAACCGGGAGAUAGCUGGUUCUCCCCGAAAGCUAUUUAGGUAGCGCCUCGUGAAUUCAUCUCCGGGGGUAGAGCACUGUUUCGGCAAGGGGGUC
rnacentral:rRNA from 1 species